ACAUAACUGAUGCCUCCGCGUAUCGACUUUGUGCGCAUUUUAGCUAUUAUGUGUUCUUUUAAUUAAAAUGAUUCUUUUUAAGAUUCAUCUAUUAAAAAUUUGCUUCGGCAUAAUUUUUUUUGAUGAUCUUGUUACUUUGAGUAAAUUAGAGUGUUCAAAGCAAACAGAUAUAGCAUUUGUGCGUUUGAAUACUACAGCAUGGAAUAACAAAAUUGAACAAGUCAGAAUUUUUUUGUUCUUUUUUCUUAUUUUGGCUUAGUUACGAUUAAUAGGAGUAGCUUGGGGGCAUUUGUAUUCAGAUGUCAGAGGUGAAAUUCUUAGAUUUUCUGGAGACAAACAACUGCGAAAGCAUUUGCCUAAAAUACUUCCAUUAAUCAAGAACGAAAGUUAAGGGAGUGAAGACGAUCAGAUACCGUCGUAAUCUUAACCAUAAACUAUGCCGACUAGGCUUUGGAUGAAAGAUUUUAAAAUAAGAGUUUUUCUUUUCUCUCCAGAGAUUAGAACUCUUAGAUUGCUUCCUUCAGUGCCUUAUGAGAAAUCAAAGUCUUUGGGUUCUGGGGCGAGUAUUCGCGCAAGCGAGAAAGUUAAAAGAAUUGACGGAAGGGCACCACCAGGCGUGGAGCUUGCGGCUUAAUUUGACUCAACACGGGAAAACUCACUAGUUUAAGACAAGAGUAGGAUUGACAGAUUAAUAGCUCUUUCUUGAUUUCUUGGAUGGUGAUGCAUGGCCGUUUUUAGUUCGUGAAUAUGAUUUGUCUGGUUAAUUCCGAUAACGAACGAGAUCUUAACCUGCUAAUUAGCGGCAAAUACGAUAUAUUCUUAUGUAGAAUUGAAUAUAGUGGAUUUGUUAGAUUUUGAAGAAAAUAUUGGAAUUACGUUAAAUGUGAUUCCUUUCCCUUUUCUACUUAAUUUACAUUUCCAUCUAUUUCUUUUUUGCGUAUGAAUGUAUUUGCUUGAUUGUAAAGCUUCUUAGAGGAACGAUGUGUG
rnacentral:rRNA from 1 species